CCUGUGCUACGCCAGCCCCGCCCCGCCUCGCCUCGCGGCCCUCGCCGGCGUAUUGACCUCUCAGCCCAGCCCUCCAGUACCCCGCCGGGCAUCCCUACGCCGAACUACCCGGGCCCCUGAGGGGGCACCGCCAUACCCCCCUCCCAGCCCGGGGUCCUCAGGAGAGCAUUCAUCUACCUGGGGCACACCCCACAUCCAUCUGCCCGGGGCCCCCCUCACACCCACCAGGCUGCCCUCAACUGUUGCCUCCCCCACCGGACUGUUGGACGGGGGUGAUAUCACACAUCCCUUUCCCCGCCCCGCGGGAGGUGCCCCCUCCACAUCUUCCAUACGGAUCUUGUGAUCCCCAACCCCCUUCUAGGGGUAUUAUCGCCCCCCCCCCCCACUCUGCGCCACGACUCUGCGCCUUUCACAAACAUCCCCUGCGGACGCGCGUGUGUGUGCGUGUGUGCGGAGUCCCUCUUAGCUGGCAGGCACAGAGGGGAAAUCAGAGCCUUCCCUUUAGCAAUGAUGCGUAGGUGAAUGCAUUUGAAGGCUCUCAGCACGGGACUUUGCAAACGCUAAAUAACCCCGAGAGCCCACUGGUGGGGUAGCGGGAUACAUAAGAUGUUCUGUUCCGGUUGCUGGAGAGCGCUUGCUGUAUCAUCGUCCUCCUCCCUCCCCUUCUGCUGUCCCUGCAGUGCUGUUGGAGCCAGAAGUUUGGAUCUCGGGGUCCCAUUGCUACCUGAAAAGUUCCGAGUAAAGUAAAGUAAACAUGAGGUGGCUUCAGUAGCAGAACUGGUUCCAUUUAAGACAACGGGAAUUGCUGAAAAUGACUUUGUGAAAAGAAAAUAUAAGAGGAGACACUGUGCAUUUCUGAGAGGUCUUAAAACCCUCAGGACCAGAUUGUAGCAAAAAAGUGUGGCUGCCCUCUGAGAUUGGUGGGCGGAACCAGGAAGACCAUGCUCACCAUGCCGGAAGCAGAGGGGCAGGAGAGGAACAGAAAGUAUAAAAAGCCGGCCCUGUAGGUCAGCUGGGCAGCAGCUGCCAAAGAAGACGGAUGUAUUCUCCUCACUGCUGAUGCAGGAGCCCGCAGAAGACUUCAGCUACCUUGAGGACUUGCCUGAGCUACCAGAGGGGCCUGACCUGACCAACGAGUGCCGUUCCAGGUGCGUGACAGCAAAGAGGCAUGGCCACUCUUGGAGAUUUACAGCCACGCACGCCUACCUGCCAAUACAGGUAGAAGGCAAGAGUGCAUCAUAUGGUAAGGGAGUGAAGUCUCCUCUCCAGACACAUAUUUCAGGGAGAGAGUGGGGACACAGGUGACUCACAUGCAGAAUCCAUGCAGAGGGUCGCGAAAUAGACUUCCUGCAGCACCGACCUGGGAUUGCACCACCAAUCCAGAGACCAGAGGACGUGGCUCAGCACCGUGACCACUCGGUCCGGGGGCGCCUGCUGGGAACGUAGACUGAGGACAGCCACGCUUGCAGGGGCCUCAGAUGCAGCUGGGUGUGGCUUACCACGAAACCCAGAUCGCUGCAGGUGGAGCGCACCAGAACAAGGCUCCUCUGGACCUGCCCUUGAUGAGCCAAUUGUCAAGAUACAGGAAGAUCUGGAUCCCUCAAUGCCUCAGGCCCCUGCUGAGGCUGCCACUGCCUAGGUGGCAGAAGAGGCCAGAACAGCUGCCUGGACGUCUGAGGGAUGUGCAUCCCCAGGAAGUGGAGGGUUGCCCUUGUGUCCUUUAGGCCAUGCAGAUGUGCAUCCGUUUGGUUGGAAACUAGGCAGAUGUAGUCUAACGGAAGGUCCUGGAUCGAGACCCACAUCUCUUGGGACAGGCCAGCGGUCUGGAGCAAGGAACUGUGCCGCAUAACCACCGCCAAAGCAACCACUCAGGCAGCUGAACUGGCCGCAUCCCAGGCCAUCUGGAGAAAGGACCAGGUGCUGCGGUCCCUUCAUCCACCAGGCUUGUGAACUCCUGGGCCGCCUCCUAGGACAUGGAGUCCUUAAAACUUGAGGAGAGUCCCACAAGUUAAAAUUGUAGCAGCCCAGGAGGGCUUAGUGGUUUGCCACCCGAAACUGGACGCUGGCAGUAGAAUAAAUCUUUCAGCCG